GUGGUUGCAAAUUGCAAUCAGGGUUCAAAGAAAUAAUUACUACUUCUAUUUCUAAUUGUGUAUUUUCAGAUGGGAGCGUACUAAUGAUGGACUCGUUUUAUGCAGUAUGUAUACCACCACCGCCAGAUCCACCUAAUCCGAAUUUCUAAAACAGAAAAUCUAUAAUGCCAUUCGAUGUUAUUAAGAAAACAUUGUUUGACCACAAAAGCAGUAGUAUUUGGUAAUAGCAAUGAUUUACCUCUUGUAUGCAGUUUUGUGUAGUUUAUUUGUUUUCAGUUCUGUCACGUUAGUUCAUUUUUUGCAAUUUCAUUCUUUAGUAGGAUUAGAUUAAAGUGUACAUAAAUAAUUCCAACAAGGGGGAUAGGUAUGGUAAAUAGGUUUUGAAAAACUAAUAGUAAGCGAGCAAUGUUAUUAAAUCGUUUAACGAUAAAAAUGCAUAACAUAAAUUCUUUUAAAAGAGAAUUCAAACUUAGGGAACAGCAGCGGAACGAUACCAAUUAUACUAUAAAAUAAAAAAGGCA
rnacentral:lncRNA from 1 species